rnacentral:lncRNA from 1 species
UCAUUGACAGCCAUUGUUGGUCAAAACCCCUCUGCAAAUUGAAAGGGAGCACUAAGCUAGAUAAUGCACCUGAUAUGGUAAAUAAAAUUCCUACAGUGAAACAGUUUUCUAACAUGUCCUUAAUCAUAGAAACAAAUCAAGUAUAGAAGAAGCACCAAAACCCUUGAAGUGAUAAGCUCCAUGUCAAUGUAAAAUAGCAGCAUAGAAGCAUUAGGCUAUAAUUUACAUAAUUUCACUCAAAUCUGUAACCCAAAACAUUUAAACAAUU